CAACUGCACAAAGAGGUGGACUGGUUGCUAUAACGCACACUGACCCACCAGCGGGAAGACACUCAAUAUAGGAGUUGCCCCCUGGUGGUUAGUGCACUCCCACAGGGGGAGCGC